rnacentral:rRNA from 1 species
UAUGUAGGCGGUUGCGUAAGUUCGGUGUGAAAUCUCCCGGCUUAACUGGGAGGGUGCGCCGAAAACUGCGUGGCUCGAGUGCGGGAGAGGAGAGCGGAAUUCCUGGUGUAGCGGUGAAAUGCGUAGAUAUCAGGAGGAACACCGGCGGUGUAGACGGCUCUCUGGACCGUUACUGACGCUGAGAUACGAAAGCGUGGGUAGCAAACAGGAUUAGAUACCCUGGUAGUCCACGCCCUAAACGAUGCACACUUGGUGUGAGCAGUUCAUUCUGUUCGUGCCGGAGCUAACGCGUUAAGUGUGCCGCCUGGGGAGUACGGUCGCAAGGCUGAA